rnacentral:rRNA from 1 species
GACGAACGCUGGCGGCGUGCCUAAUACAUGCAAGUCGAACGGUCUUUUCUAUGGAAGCUUGCUUCCACUGAGAAGAUAGUGGCGAACGGGUGAGUAACACGUGGGUAACCUGCCCAUAAGAGGGGGAUAACAUCCGGAAACGGGUGCUAAUACCGCAUAGUUUUCUUGAUCGCAUGAUUGAGAAAGGAAAGACGGCCUUUGUGCUGUCGCUUAUGGAUGGACCCGCGGCGUAUUAGUUAGUUGGUGAGGUAAUGGCUCACCAAGACGAUGAUACGUAGCCGACCUGAGAGGGUGAUCGGCCACAUUGGGACUGAGACACGGCCCAAACUCCUACGGGAGGCAGCAGUAGGGAAUCUUCCGCAAUGGACGAAAGUCUGACGGAGCAACGCCGCGGGAGUGAAGAAGGUUUUCGGAUCGUAAAACUCUGUU